rnacentral:misc_RNA from 1 species
GAUGAAGAACGUAGCGAAAUGCGAUAAGUAGUGUGAAUUGCAGAAUUCAGUGAAUCAUCGAAUCUUUGAACGCACAUUGCGCCCCUUGGUAUUCCAUGGGGCAUGCCUGUUCGAGCGUCAUUUGUACCUUCAAGCUUUGCUUGGUGUUGGGUGUUUGUCUCGCCUUUGCGUGUAGACUCGCCUUAAAAUAAUUGGCAGCCGGCGUAUUGAUUUCGGAGCGCAGUACAUCUCGCGCUUUACACUCAUAACGACAGCGUCCAAAAGUACAUUUUACACUCUUGACCUCGGAUCAGGUAGGGAUACCCGCUGAACUUAAGCAUAUCAAUAAGCGGAGGA